rnacentral:rRNA from 1 species
GAUGAACGCUGGCGGCGUGCCUAAUACAUGCAAGUCGAGCGAACGGACGAGAAGCUUGCUUCUCUGAUGUUAGCGGCGGACGGGUGAGUAACACGUGGAUAACCUACCUAUAAGACUGGGAUAACUUCGGGAAACCGGAGCUAAUACCGGAUAAUAUUUUGAACCGCAUGGUUCAAAAGUGAAAGACGGUCUUGCUGUCACUUAUAGAUGGAUCCGCGCUGCAUUAGCUAGUUGGUAAGGUAACGGCUCACCAAGGCAACGAUGCAUAGCCGACCUGAGAGGGUGAUCGGCCACACUGGAAUUGAGACACGGUCCAGACUCCUACGGGAGGCAGCAGUAGGGAAUCUUCCGCAAUGGGCGAAAGCCUGACGGAGCAACGCCGCGUGAGUGAUGAAGGUCUUCGGAUCGUAAAACUCUGUUAUUAGGGAAGAACAUAUGUGUAAGUAACUGUGCACAUCUUGACGGUACCUAAUCAGAAAGCCACGGCUAACUACGUG